CAUGAAGUUUGCUCAGGACUCCGAAUACACGGUGAAAGCAGACAGGGGAGGCUUUGUCUGGAACCUGUACUAUUUCAUAGCGAAUUUUACAGAAUAUAAUUAUAAUGGUACGAUGUAAAGACUCACCCAGAAAAUACAGUCUGCUGUUCGCCUUUCCAAUGCUACUAUUAAAUAUCUAUCUGAUGUGAAGAAUGAGAGAAUUUGGCCACUAAGUGGUUUUAGGACCAGACAAU